rnacentral:rRNA from 1 species
UACAGAGGUCUCAAGCGUUGUUCGGAUUUAUUGGGCGUAAAGGGUGCGUAGGUGGCGCGCUAAGUCAGGUGUGAAAUCUCGGGGCUUAACUCCGAAACUGCAUUUGAUACUGGCGUGCUUGAGGACUGGAGAGGAGACUGGAAUUCAUGGUGUAGCAGUGAAAUGCGUAGAGAUCAUGAGGAAGACCAGUGGCGAAGGCGGGUCUCUGGACAGUUCCUGACACUGAGACACGAAGGCCAGGGGAGCAAACGGG